AUCGCUUCUGGCCUUUGGCUAAGAUCAAGUAUCUGUUCUUAUCAGUUUAUAUCUGAUACGUCCUCUAUCCGAGGAUAUAUUAAAUGGGAUUUUGGAGCAGGGAGAUGGAAGGAGCUUGCUCCGUCCACUCCACGCAUCGACCUGGUAUUGCAGUACCUCCAGGAACGGUGCACCACCU
rnacentral:snRNA from 1 species